CGGAUUGAAGGCUGAAAUUGCCUUCAUGAAGCCGGAAUUGCUAGUAAUGGCAGGUCAGCAUACUGCCGUGAAUACGUUCCCGGGCCUUGUACACACCGCCCGUCACACCAUGAGAGUUGGGAAUACCCGAAGCCUGUGAGCUAACGAAAGAGGCAGCAGUCGAAGGUAGAAUCAAUGAUUGGGGUGAAGUCGUAACAAGGUAGC
rnacentral:rRNA from 1 species